UAAACUUGAAUAAGGAAGUUGGAAGAGAGGAAGGGAAGCAAGCACAGAAGAAGAGUGCAACAGAGAUAAAAAAAAUUGCUAAAGAGACAGAUCCGGAGAAACCUGGACCUUCCUCUGUGUCCAGCCAGAAGAAACCGGCCGUGAAGCCUUUAAUCUGUCACCCUGUCUCUCAGGAAACAGCAAAGAACCUCAGAAGGAAAAGCAAGCGUCCCAUCAAACGCAGAGGUUGCCCUGUUCCUCAGCAACUGGUAGAGACCCUCAAAAGGAAACGCAAGCUUCCUGUCACAUGCGGAAAGAAAAAGGGUGUUCUACACAAAGCCAAGUUUAAAAA